rnacentral:rRNA from 1 species
AUUGAACGCUGGCGGCAGGCCUAACACAUGCAAGUCGAGCGGAUGAAGGGAGCUUGCUCCUGGAUUCAGCGGCGGACGGGUGAGUAAUGCCUAGGAAUCUGCCUGGUAGUGGGGGAUAACGUCCGGAAACGGGCGCUAAUACCGCAUACGUCCUGCGGGAGCAAGUGGGGGAUCUUCGGACCUCACGCUCUCAGAUGAGCCUAGGUCGGGUUAGCUAGUUGGUGGGGUAAAGGCCUUCCAAGGCGACGAUCCGUAACUGGUCUGAUAGGAUGAUCAGUCACACUGGAAGUGAGACACGGUCAAGACGCCUACGGGAGGCAGCAGUGGGGAAUAUUGGACAAUGGGCGAAAGCAUGAUCCAGCCAUGCCGCGUGUGUGAAGAAGGUCUUCGGAGUGUAAAGCACGUUAAGUUGGGAGGAAGGGCAGUAAGUUAAUACCUUGCUGUUUUGACGUUACCAACAGAAGAAGCACCGGCUAACUUCGUG